rnacentral:rRNA from 1 species
UGAUGUGAAAGCCCACGGCUUAACCGUGGAGGGUCAUUGGAAACUGGAGGACUUGAGUACAGAAGAGAAGAGUGGAAUUCCACGUGUAGCGGUGAAAUGCGUAGAGAUGUGAAGGAACACCAGUGGCGAAGGCGACUCUCUGGUCUGUAACUGACGCUGAGGAGCGAAAGCGUGGGGAGCGAACAGGAUUAGAUACCCUGGUAGUCCACGCCGUAAACGAUGAGUGCUAGGUGUUAGGGGGUUUCCGCCCCUUAGUGCUGAAGUUAACGCAUUAAGCACUCCGCCUGGGGAGUACGGCCGCAAGGCUGAAACUCAAAAGAAUUGACGGGGGCCCGCACAAGCGGUGGAGCAUGUGGUUUAAUUCGAAGCAACGCGAAGAACCUUACCAGGUCUUGACAUCCUCUGACAGCGAUAGAGAUAUCGUGUUCCCUUCGGGGACAGAGUGACAGGUGGUGCAUGGUUGUCGUCAGCUCGUGUCGCGAGAUGUUGGGUUAAGUCCCGCAACGAGCGCAACCCUUGAUCUUAGUUGCCAGCAUUAAGUUGGGCACUCUAAGGUGACUGCCGGUGAUAAACCGGAGGAAGGUGGGGAUGACGUCAAAUCAUCAUGCCCCUUAUGACCUGGGCUACACACGUGCUACAAUGGAUGGAACAAAGGGCAGCGAAGCCGCGAGGUGAAGCGAAUCCCAUAAAACCAUUCUCAGUUCGGAUUGUAGGCUGCAACUCGCCUACAUGAAGCCGGAAUCGCUAGUAAUCGCGGAUCAGCAUGCCGCGGUGAAUACGUUCCCGGGCCUUGUACACACCGCCCGU